GUGGAUUAGAUACCCGGGUAGUCCACGCUGUAAACGAUGAAUACUAGGUGUGGGGAUCGUAGGAUUUCCGUGCCGCAGUUAACACAAUAAGUAUUCCACCUGGGGAGUACGGCCGCAAGGUUGAAACUCAAAGGAAUUGACGGGAGCCCGCACAAGCAGUGGAGUAUGUGGUUUAAUUCGACGCAACGCGAAGAACCUUACCGGAGCUUGACAUCCUAGGAAGACUGAGUAAUGUCGGUUGUGCCCUUCGGGGAACCUAGAGACAGGUGGUGCACGGCCGUCGCCAGCU
rnacentral:rRNA from 1 species